UACGAGGGGGGCAAGCGUUGUCCGGAAUUAUUGGGCGUAAAGAGCUCGUAGGCGGUUUGUCGCGUCGGCUGUGAAAACCUGGGGCUCAACCCCGGGCCUGCAGCCGAUACGGGCAAACUAGAAUUCGGUAGGGGAGACUGGAAUUCCUGGUGUAGCGGUGAAAUGCGCAGAUAUCAGGAGGAACACCGAUGGCGAAGGCAGGUCUCUGGGCCACUACUGACGCUGAGAAGCGAAAGCAUGGGGAGCGAACAGG
rnacentral:rRNA from 1 species